rnacentral:rRNA from 1 species
UCAUUACCGAGUGCGGGCCCCUCGGGGCCCAACCUCCCACCCGUGUUGCCCGAACCUAUGUUGCCUCGGCGGGCCCCGCGCCCGCCGACGGCCCCCCUGAACGCUGUCUGAAGUUGCAGUCUGAGACCUAUAACGAAAUUAGUUAAAACUUUCAACAACGGAUCUCUUGGUUCCGGCAUCGAUGAAGAACGCAGCGAAAUGCGAUAACUAAUGUGAAUUGCAGAAUUCAGUGAAUCAUCGAGUCUUUGAACGCACAUUGCGCCCUCUGGUAUUCCGGAGGGCAUGCCUGUCCGAGCGUCAUUGCUGCCCUCAAGCCCGGCUUGUGUGUUGGGCCCCGUCCCCCCCGCCGGGGGGACGGGCCCGAAAGGCAGCGGCGGCACCGCGUCCGGUCCUCGAGCGUAUGGGGCUUCGUCACCCGCUCUAGUAGGCCCGGCCGGCGCCAGCCGACCCCCAACCUUUAAUUAUCUCAGGUUGACCUCGGAUCAGGUAGGGAUACCCGCUGAACUUAA